rnacentral:rRNA from 1 species
CCUUGUACACACCGCCCGUCACACCAUGGGAGUUGGUUGUACCAGAAGCAGGUAGCCUAACCGCAAGGGGGGCGCCUACCACGGUAUGGUCAAUGACUGGGGUG